rnacentral:rRNA from 1 species
AUACAGAGACUACGAACGUUACUCGGAUUCACUGGGCGUAAAGGGUGCGCAGGCGGUUAGGUAUGUUAGAUGUGAAAUACCGGAGCUUAACUCCGGGGCUGCGUCUAAAACUAUCUGACUAGAGUUUUGGAGAGGUAAGCGGAAUUCCAGGAGUAGCAGUGAAAUGCGUAGAUAUCUGGAGGAACACCAAAGGCGAAGGCAGCUUACUGGACAAAAACUGACGCUCAUGCACGAAAGCGUGGGGAGC